rnacentral:tRNA from 1 species
GCCCGCCUAGCUCAACUGGUAGAGCACCGAUUUUGUAAGUCGGGUUGUCUCGGUUCGAAUCCGGGGGUGGGCU